UACGUAGGGGGCGAGCGUUGUCCGGAGUUACUGGGCGUAAAGGGCAUGCAGGCGGUCCGACACGUUUUGUGUGACAGCGGGUGGCUUAACUACCCGAGGAUGCAAAAGACGGUUGGACUUGAGGACUCGAGAGGGACACGGAAUUCCGGGUGGAGUGGUGAAAUGCGUAGAGAUCCGGAGGAACACCGAAGGCGAAGGCAGUGUCCUGGCGAGUGACUGACACUGAGAGACGAAAGCUAGGGGAGCGAAUGGG
rnacentral:rRNA from 1 species